rnacentral:rRNA from 1 species
AUUGAACGCUGGCGGCAUGCCUUACACAUGCAAGUCGAACGGCAGCACGGGUGCUUGCACCUGUUGGCGAGUGGCGAACGGGUGAGUAAUACAUCGGAACAUGUCCUGUAGUGGGGGAUAGCCCUGCGAAAGCCGGAUUAAUACCGCAUACGAUCUACGGAUGAAAGCGGGGGACCUUCGGGCCUCGCGCUAUAGGGUUGGCCGAUGGCUGAUUAGCUAGUUGGUGGGGUAAAGGCCUACCAAGGCGACGAUCAGUAGCUGGUCUGAGAGGACGACCAGCCACACUGGGACUGAGACACGGCCCAGACUCCUACGGGAGGCAGCAGUGGGGAAUUUUGGACAAUGGGCGAAAGCCUGAUCCAGCAAUGCCGCGUGUGUGAAGAAGGCCUUCGGGUUGUAAAGCACUUUUGUCCGGAAAGAAAUCCUUGGCCCUAAUACGGUCGGGGGAUGACGGUACCGGAAGAAUAAGCACCGGCUAACUACGUG